UGGAUAAGACAUGCAAGUCGAGCGGGAUACUCGUCGCAGCAAUGUAGCGGGUGUUCAGCGGCGUAAGGGUGCGUAACACGUGGGUAAUCUGCCGUGAAGCUGGGGAUAACUCCGAGAAAUCGGAGCUAAUACCGAAUGUAGUCUGGACGAGACAUCUCGAGCGGACUAAAGCUGGGGACCGAAAGGCCUGGCGCUUCACGAUGAGCCCGCGGCCUAUCAGCUAGUUGGUGAGGUAACGGCCCACCAAGGCUAAGACGGGUAGCUGGUCUGAGAGGACGACCAGCCACACUGGAACUGAGACACGGUCCAGACACCUACGGGUGGCAGCAGUCGAGAAUUUUUCACAAUGGGCGCAAGCCUGAUGGAGCGACGCCGCGUGGGGGAUGAAGGGCUUCGGCUCGCAAACCCC
rnacentral:rRNA from 1 species